UUUGAGUUCCUGUCUGUACUUCCUUCAGUGAUGAAGCAAUGCUGAAGUGGUCUCUAAUUAGCCUGGAAUAUACCUAGUAGGCUGAGCUGGUUGGUCUGAGAGUCUUAGAGACCUGCCUGUGUCUGUCUUCCCUGGCGGAGUAAUAGUCACAAAAUGAAAAUGUAGACACCAUGUACAAACAAGAAGUUCGUGCAAAGUCAAGUUUUCAAAACCACAUGCAAGUCUCAGCGGCACAUGGCUUAGAGCUCACACGCUCCA